CUGUUACUCAUCUGCCAGGCGGCCACGGCAUAUGAGAGAUUAGAGGCCUGUGCCCUGGUAACUGGCACUGUGUCCUGUGUUUAUCAUGAAUGAGAGUUGAACAGAGACUACCAGAGUGGCUGACAGCAGCUGGGAGACCCAAAAGAGCCAGCCCUGUUUGAGCAAAGCCUGUGGGUUUGGCUCUGCUGGAACCGAGACUGUGAACAGUGCUCAUCGUUACAGAUGAUGAAUAUUACUCAGUAUUUAGUAUCCUUUUGGACUUGUAAAGAAUAUGAUCAUAAAGAGCAUGGAUCAACCAUCUAUGUCAAGAGUAUGGUGCUGCUCAUCCAGCUUAUCCUGAAGCUGCUUUUCCCGGAAGUUCUCCCUCGUGCCAGGCGGCCAGCAGUUCUAGGGGGAGACGCUCACUGAACUCUCUGAGAGGACUCGGAACGGCAGCAGCAGGGCACCUUCGUGGGCAGACAUUGCGCACGGCGACUACCCCAAGGGCCCUGUUGAAGCGCAGGAGCAAGCGCAGCGGUGGAAGCUGCUUCAAGGAAGCCUUUCUUGCUCUAAAAAUAAGUUGGUGGAAACUGAAAGUUUCACAGGAAUGUAACAGUUUGGACAACAGAGAAGGAACAAAAUGCUGUGAGAUGUCUCUAGGCCGGGGUCACCGCAGCGGUGAGAAGGGAAGAGCCCUGGAGGUCCCUAGCAGGGAGAAAAGGGGCUUGGCGCAUCCUGGGCCCAGGCCCUGGCUCCGCU